AAGUCGUAACAAGGUAACCGUAGGUGAACCUGCGGUUGGAUCAUUAAUGAAUGAAAUAGGGUGUGGGGGAAAGAGGAGUGGUGGGGGAAGGGUGUGUGGGGAAAGUAAGCUGCCGUCGAGGUAGUAAGCUGCCGUCAAGGCAGUGAGUAGACGAGGGUGGCGUACACUUCAUUGAGUGACGUCCCUUUCAUCGAGUGGCGUCCACUUAUUUGAGUGGACUCCCCUCCUCUACUACCACUUAUCCCCCUCUCCUCCCUCUCUGCUUCUUCCCCAUCUCAUCACCCUCUGGAUUUAUCCAGUCAACCCCUGUCAAACGGAUCGAUCAAGUGGGGGAGCUUUUUACUACUGUUCCCCCCUUACUUAUAAAACCUCUUGAAAAAACACUGAAUCAGAGACAAUGAGAAACAACUUUUGACAACGGAUCUCUUGGCUCUC
rnacentral:misc_RNA from 1 species